rnacentral:rRNA from 1 species
AAAAUAAAAAUUAAUAAUGGGGGUUAUUAAUAAAAAAAAUUUUAUUGUGUUAAGUUUUAAGUAGGGUUAUUUGAAAAAAUUUAAUAUUUUAUAGUUAAUUAGUAUUGUGAAAGAAUUUUGAAAAUAUAUGAAAAUAAAUUUAUUAAAAAGUAAUUUUAAUUUAAUGUAUCUUGUGUAUCAGAGUUUAUUAAUAAAAUAAUUAUUUUUAAUUUUUUUCGAAUUUAAAAGAGAUAAUUAUUUAUUAAAGUUAUUUUUGCAUAAAUAUUUUAAAUAAUUAAUUUGAAAUGAGAUGUUAAUCGUUUUUAAAUAUAUCUAAUUUUUUUAGAAAAAAAUUUAAUUUUAAAUUAAUUUAAUAAUUGAUUUAUUUUUUUUUUAUAAUUUUAUUAUUAAAUUAAUUUUAUAUUUUAAGGGAUAAGCUUUAAAUUAAAUUUUUAUAAUUUUUUAUAUUUUUAAUUAAAAUUUUUAUUAUUUAUAUUGUAAAUAAAUUUUAUUUUAUUAUAAAUAAUUUUAUAUUUAUUUAAAAUUUAAUUUAAAUUUAAUUUUUUAUAAAAAAAAAUUUUUUUAAUUUAAUAAAAUAUGAUAUAAUGAUAAAAUUAGUAUAUAAAUUUAAUUUAAUAAAAUAUUAUUUAUAUUUAUUAAUUUUAAAUAAUUCGGCAAAAUUUUAUGUCCACUUGUUUAUCAAAAACAUGUCUUUUUGAUUUUAAUUUAAAGUUUAAUCUGCCCACUGAUGAAAAUUAAAGGGCUGCAGUAUUUUGACUGUACAAAGGUAGCAUAAUCAUUAGUCUUUUAAAUGGUGACUUGUAUGAAUGAUUGGAUGAGAUAUAAGCUGUCUUAAAUUUAUUUGAUAGAAUUUAAUUUUUUAAUUAAAAAGUUAAAAUACAUUAAAAAGACGAGAAGACCCUAUAGAGUUUUAUAAGUAUAAUUAAAUUAAGAAUAUUUAUAAAAUUAAAAUUAUUUAAAAUUUGUUUAUUUAUUUGAUUGGGGUGAUUAAAAAAUUUAAUUAACUUUUUUUAAUUUUUAACAUAGAUAAAUGAUUUAAUGGAUCCAAUUUUAUUGAUUGAAAGAAAAAAUUACCUUAGGGAUAACAGCGUAAUUUUUUUUUUUAGUUCAUAUAAGAAAAAGAGUUUGCGACCUCGAUGUUGGAUUAAGAUGAAAUUUAAAUGUAAAAGUUUGAGUGUUUUGAUCUGUUCGAUCAUUAAAAUCUUACAUGAUCUGAGUUCAAACCGGUGUAAGCCAGGUUGGUUUCUAUCUUUUAGGAAAAAUAAUAUUUUAGUACGAAAGGAUCGAGUAUUAAAAUUAAAUUUAAUAUUUAAAGAAUAUUAUUAAAAUUUAUUUAAAAUUAAUAAAAUUAUAAAAUUUGUUUAGUUUAAUAUAAUAAUGAAUGAUAAUGGGAUUUUUAUUGUUAAUAAUAAAAAUUUAUUUAAUUAAUUUUAAUUUAUAGUAUAUUUAAUUUAUUAGUAU